rnacentral:rRNA from 1 species
UACGGAGGGUGCAAGCGUUAUCCGGAUUCACUGGGGUUUAAAGGGUGCGUAGGCGGGCAUGUAAGUCCGUGGUGAAAUCUCCGAGCUUAACUCGGAAACUGCCAUGGAUACUAUGUGUCUUGAAUGUUGUGGAGGUGAGCGGAAUAUGUCAUGUAGCGGUGAAAUGCUUAGAUAUGACAUAGAACACCAAUUGCGAAGGCAGCUCACUACACAAAAUAUUGACGCUGAGGCACGAAAGCGUGGGGAUCAAACAGG